rnacentral:rRNA from 1 species
GGAGUUAUCCGGUGCUUCUUCUGUGAGUGAUGUCCUUCCUGCCGGCUAUUAACCCGCAGGCCUUCUUCCUCACUGAAAGUGCUUUACAACCCGAAGGCCUUCUUCACACACGCGGCAUGGCUGGAUCAGGGUUGCCCCCAUUGUCCAAUAUUCCCCACUGCUGCCUCCCGUAGGAGUCUGGGCCGUGUCUCAGUCCCAGUGUGGCUGAUCAUCCUCUCAGACCAGCUACGGAUCGUCGCCUUGGUAAGCCGUUACCUCACCAACCAGCUAAUCCGACAUAGGCUCAUCCGAUAGCGCGAGGCCCGAAGGUCCCCCGCUUUCCCCCGUAGGGCGUAUGCGGUAUUAGCCUGGGUUUCCCCAGGUUAUCCCCCACUACCGGGCAGAUUCCUAUGCAUUACUCACCCGUCCGCCGCUCGCCACCAGGGAGCAAGCUCCCCGUGCUGCCGCUCGACUUGCAUGUGUUAGGCCUGCCGCCAGCGUUCAAUCUGAGCCAUGAUCAAACUCUGA